UAUAAAUUAUUUAACGUUAUUCGUAUAUUCUUAGAAUAUGGUCUAAGAGUCUCUACUAGGAGCCUAACAAUCCUAACUACGAAUGGGUGAGAUUACUCU
rnacentral:ncRNA from 1 species